rnacentral:snRNA from 1 species
AUACUUACCUGGCAGGGGAGAUACCAUGAUCAAGAAGGUGGUCCACCCAGGGCGAGGCUCAGCCAUUGCACCCCGGCUGUGCUGACCUUUGCGAAUUCCCCAAAUGUGGGAAUCUCGACUGCAUAAUUUCUGGUAGUGGGGGACUGCGUUCGCGCUCUCCCCUG